rnacentral:rRNA from 1 species
AAACGCUUGAAAGUCAGUCGCAUUGGCCAGGGAUCAACCUUGCUCUUCUGCUUGGUGCAAUUCCUGGUUGAUGGGUCAGCAUCAAUUUUGACCAGUGGAAAAAGGUCAAGGGAAUGUGGCAUCUUUGGAUGUGUUAUAGCCCUUGGCUGCAUACAUUGGUUGGGAUUGAGGAACUCAGCACGCCGCAAGGCCGGGUUUUUAACCACGUUCGUGCUUAGGAUGCUGGCAUAAUGGCUUUAAUCGA